rnacentral:lncRNA from 1 species
GCACUCUCUCUCUCUCUCUCUCUCUCUGAUAUGGUGCUACCCUCUCCAGCAAAGAGCAACGGUAGUUCCAGCGGUGGCCACCCAUGACUCCUCCUCCAGAUUCGUAUCACCACCGACAGUAGUUGCCCUCUCUCGCUCUGUCAAUAUCUUUUGAAACUAGAAUACCCAUAUGGAGACUUGUCCCAAAAGUCUCUCAAUUUGCCAUAUCUUUAUCGAACCACAGUCCCACUCUGUUCUUCUGGUUUAUCAAAGCGUUUUGGUAGGGUAUUUGGUGCCGGGCAAUGGCUAUGGUUAAGAAUGAAAGACUGCUCCGGCGCCAUCGACCACUUCAGGCAAGUGAUGUCCUUGCUGUGGAGCUUUUGCAAAAAGAUGCACGACUUGCCGUUAGUGGAGAGAUAGGAAAGCCAUGUCCUGGUGGAACCUAAUUAUACUCAAAUCUGGGUACUGCUUUUAGGAGGUCUUGUGUCAGCUGGUAUAUUGGAUGUGUGGGACAUGAUUUCCCAACAGUCUUUUACCUUGCUCUGGGUGGAUCAUUGCUAUCAUACAUUUACUCUGCUCCACCUCUAAAUCUUAAAAAAAAAAGUCAUCUACUGUUAAAGCCCAGACAUUAGAUACUUAUUAGUAGAUACACACGAGCAUUGCAGAACCUUCAAAGGUACCAGAAAAAGGGCAGCUUUUGUCUUUAUUAUUGCAUUUCGGUUGCUGGAUCUUGGCAAUAAUACAGUGCAGGUAACGAAUGCAUCAAAGAGGUCAAGAUCCAAUCUAAACGACCUUCAUAACCUGUGGAAGCAUCUCAUCUUCUCAUCAACUUAGAAGGAAGAGCUGAAAUUAUAGAAUUCACUUGCUUCUUCAAAUCCUGCUGAUGAAAGGACUGCACCUAUAUAUAUAUAUAUUAAUUAUGCUGGUAAAUAGUUUCUCUCUCUCUCUACUCUAAAGUUCAAAAUUUGAGUUUAGUUGUUUUGGGGAGAGAAUGUAAUACAAUGUUUUGGAAUUUGUUGAUGUAUUGUUGGAAAUUUGAGUUUAAUGAAAAAGAUAUAGCAGGAUUGUGUGAU